CAAAUGUCGAGUACAAUCUUUUUUUAGUUCUGUUUUUCCACUGGAGGAGUUCUCUCACUCAAAUUUUAUCUACAUUGCUCAUUAGCCGAGAGAAACAAAACAUAAAAAAUCCUCUUACAAGAGGAUUGAAGAAGGGAAAACAAAGCCUUGGGGCUGUAUCCACGGGCUUCCAUCUUCUAAAAGCCUUUGAAGUGGACCAGACUCUGUAUGUAGCCAUAUUUGUAUUUUCCUUUUUCUUUCCUGAUAUAGAUACAUGGAUGUAUGUAGAUAUGAAUGAUAAAUGGGUUAUGUAUAGAUGUAUGAUUAGGAUGUGAAUGUAUAUGACUAGGGUGUGAAUGUAUAUAUGUAUGAUUAGGGUGUGAAUGUAUAGAUGUAUGAAUAGGGUGUGAAUGUGUAGAACUAUAGAGGUGUGUUAGUGUAGGGUGAGAGUAUAGAUGUAUGUAUAGGCUGCAUAUAUGUGAAGUGAGUGAGCGUAGGCAAAGCGCCCAAUGCGUAACUUAGGGAGGAAACACGGCCCCUAUAACCAUCCCUAGUCACACAAGUAACAACAAACACUCUAAACGGCAAAAACAAAGCUAGGAAAAAAUAUGUCGAAAUGCUAGUCGAAACACUAAAUGUUCAAGUGUUUUACGUUAAAAUAGGACAAUAAAAAUUGCCAAGGCCCAAAAUAAAGCAAAUAUAAUUUUGUAAAACA